rnacentral:tRNA from 1 species
GCGCCCGUAGCUCAGCUGGAUAGAGCGCUUGCCUCCGGAGCAAGAGGUCACAGGUUCGAAUCCUGUCGGGCGCACCA